AUUGAACGCUGGCGGCAUGCUUUACACAUGCAAGUCGAACGGCAGCACGGGCUUCGGCCUGGUGGCGAGUGGCGAACGGGUGAGUAAUAUAUCGGAACGUACCCAGAAGUGGGGGAUAACGUAGCGAAAGUUACGCUAAUACCGCAUACGAUCUAUGGAUGAAAGCAGGGGACCGCAAGGCCUUGUGCUCCUGGAGCGGCCGAUAUCUGAUUAGCUAGUUGGUGAGGUAAAGGCUCACCAAGGCGACGAUCAGUAGCUGGUCUGAGAGGACGACCAGCCACACUGGAACUGAGACACGGUCCAGACUCCUACGGGAGGCAGCAGUGGGGAAUUUUGGACAAUGGGCGCAAGCCUGAUCCAGCAAUGCCGCGUGAGUGAAGAAGGCCUUCGGGUUGUAAAGCUCUUUUGUCAGGGUAGAAACGGUAGAGGCUAAUAUCCUGUGCUAAUGACGGUACCUGAAGAAUAAGCACCGGCUAACUACGUG
rnacentral:rRNA from 1 species